GAUGAACGCUGGCGGCGUGCCUAACACAUGCGAGUCGAGCGAACAGACGCGGAGCUUGCUCCCCUGACGUUAGCGGCGGACGGGUGAGUAACACGUGGAUAACCUACCUAUAAGACUGGGAUAACUUCGGGAAACAGGAGCUAAUACCGGAUAAUAUAUUGAACCGCAUGGUUCAAUAGUGAAAGACGGUUUUGCUGACACUUAUACAUGGAUCCGCGCCGCAUUAGCUAGUUGGUAAGGUAACGGCUUACCAAGGCAACGAUGAGUAGCCGACCUGAGAGGGUGAUCGGCCACUCGGGAACUGAGCCACGGUCCAGACUCCUACGGGAGGCAGCAGUAGGGAACCUUCCGCAAUGGGCGAAGGCCUGACGGGGCAACGCGGCGUGAGUGAUGAAGGUCUUCGGUUCGUAAGACUCUGUUAUUAGGGAAGAACGAAUGUGUAAGUAACUAGGCACGUCUUGACGGUACCUAAUCAGAAAGCCACGGCUAACUACGUG
rnacentral:rRNA from 1 species